CCUACGGGAGGCAGCAGUAAGGAAUAUUGGUCAAUGGGCGGAAGCCUGAACCAGCCAUGCCGCGUGCAGGAAGACGGCCCUAUGGGUUGUAAACUGCUUUUGUACCGGAAUAAACCCCCGAACGUGUUCGGGGCUGAAUGUACGGUAAGAAUAAGGAUCGGCUAACUCCGUGCCAGCAGCCGCGGUAAUACGGAGGAUCCGAGCGUUAUCCGGAUUUAUUGGGUUUAAAGGGUGCGUAGGCGGCCUGUUAAGUCAGGGGUGAAAGACGGUAGCUCAACUAUCGCAGUGCCUUUGAUACUGACGGGCUUGAAUGUACUUGAGGUAGGCGGAAUGUGACAAGUAGCGGUGAAAUGCAUAGAUAUGUCACAGAACACCAAUUGCGAAGGCAGCUUACUAAGGUAUGAUUGACGCUGAGGCACGAAAGCGUGGGGAUCAAACAGGAUUAGAUACCCUGGUAGUCCACGCCCUAAACGAUGAAUACUCGAUGUUGGCGAUAUACGGCCAGCGUCUAAGCGAAAGCGUUAAGUAUUCCACCUGGGAGUACGCCGCAAGGUGAACUCAAGGAUUGAGGCUGNGNGNGCGAGNGACGACGAGGAGAG
rnacentral:rRNA from 1 species